UACGUAGGGGACAAGCGUUGUCCGGAAUUAUUGGGCGUAAAGAGCGUGUAGGCGGCCAGAUAAGUCCGCUGUGAAAUCUCGAGGCUCAACUUCGAGCUGUCGGUGGAAACUAUCUGGCUAGAGUCCGGAAGAGGAGAAUGGAAUUCCUGGUGUAGCGGUGAAAUGCGCAGAUAUCAGGAAGAACACCCGUGGCGAAGGCGGUUCUCUGGGACGGUACUGACGCUGAGACGCGAAAGCGUGGGGAGCGAACAGG
rnacentral:rRNA from 1 species